AGCGAACGCUGGCGGCAGGCCUAACACAUGCCAGUCGAACGAACCUUUCGGGGUUAGUGGCGGACGGGUGAGUAACACGUGGGAACGUGCCUUUAGGUUCGGAAUAACUCAGGGAAACUUGUGCUAAUACUGAAUGUGCCCUUCGGGGGAAAGAUUAAUCGCCUUUAGAGCGGCCCGCGUCUGAUUAGCUAGUUGGUUGAGGUAAUGGCUCACCAAGGCGACGAUCAGUAGCUGGUCUGAGAGGAUGAUCAGCCACAUUGGGACUGAGACACGGCCCAAACUCCUACGGGAGGCAGCAGUGGGGAAUCUUGCGCAAUGGGCGAAAGCCUGACGCAGCCAUGCCGCGUGAAUGAUGAAGGUCUUAGGAUUGUAAAAUUCUUUCACCGGGGACGAUAAUGACGGUACCCGGAGAAGAAGCCCCGGCUAACUUCGUG
rnacentral:rRNA from 1 species